CGGUGGAGCAUGUGGUUUAACUCGAAGCAACGCGAAGAACCUUACCAGGCCUUGACAUGCAGAGAACUUUCCAGAGAUGGAUUGGUGCCUUCGGGAACUCUGACACAGGUGCUGCAUGGCCGUCGUCAGCUCGUGUCGUGAGAUGUUGGGUUAAGUCCCGUAACGAGCGCAACCCUUGUCCUUAGUUACCAGCACGGUUAUGGUGGGCACUCUAAGGAGACUGCCGGUGACAAACCGGAGGAAGGUGGGGAUGACGUCAAGUCAUCAUGGCCCUUACGGCCUGGGCUACACACGUGCUACAAUGGUCGGUACAAAGGGUUGCCAAGCCGCGAGGUGGAGCUAAUCCCAUAAAACCGAUCGUAGUCCGGAUCGCAGUCUGCAACUCGACUGCGUGAAGUCGGAAUCGCUAGUAAUCGUGAAUCAGAAUGUCACGGUGAAUACGUUCCCGGGCCUU
rnacentral:rRNA from 1 species